CCUACGGGUGGCAGCAGUGAGGCAUAUUGGUCAAUGGUCGGGAGACUGAACCAGCCAAGCCGCGUGAGGGAGGAAGGUACAGAGUAUCGUAAACCCCUUUUGUCAGGGCACAAAGACUGGGACGCGUCCCCGGAUGAGUGUACCUGAAGAAAAAGCAUCGGCUAACUCCGUGCCAGCAGCCGCGGUAAUACGGCGGAUGCGAGCGUUAUCCGGAGUUAUUGGGUGGAAAGGGUGCGCAGGCGGUCUGUUAAGUCAGCGGUCAAAGCCUGGGGCUCAACCCCGGCGCGCCGUUGAAACUGGCUGUCGUGAGUUGGAGAGAAGUAUGCGGAAUGCGCGGUGUAGCGGUGAAAGGCAUAGAUAUCGCGCAGAACUCCGAUUGCGAAGGCAGCAUGCCGGCUCCACACUGACGCUGAGGCACGAAAGCGUGGGUAUCGAACAGGAGUAGAUACCCCUGUAGUC
rnacentral:rRNA from 1 species